GGAAGGUUUAGCCAGGGUUAGCUAGGUAGGAACCUGUUUACUGGCAAGUCAAAAUGAAAAAUAUGCGUUGAGCUAUUACAACUAAGGUAAGCAGUGCCUUUAUGCCUCUAUUACCUGCACGCC